ensembl:snRNA U1 U1 spliceosomal RNA
AUACUUACCUGGCAGGGGAGAUACCAUGAUCACAAAGGUGGUUUUCCCAGGGCGAGGCUUAUCCAUUGCACUCCGGAUGUGCUGACCCCUGCGAUUUCCCCAAAUGUGGGGAACUCGAUUGCAUAAUUUGUGGUAGGGAACUGCAUUCGUGUUAUCCCGUU